rfam:Takifugu rubripes genomic scaffold, scaffold_144
CUAGGUUGAGGUAGUAGGUUGUAUAGUUGAGAAUUACACCCCCAGAGAUAACUGUACAACCUCCUAGCUUUCCCUG